GUACAGUGCGCCUGAACAGAGUUCCUAAUAUAGAUAUGCCGCCAGAAAAAGAGUUGCAAAAAAAGAACGUGGAUUUUUCAUUGUAAAAGUUGCUACCAUUGACGAAGAUAGUGUUGGUGCCGUUACUUGGUUUGAUAAUAAACCGGUUAAUAUGCUUUCGACUUAGGUAGGUAGUGAACCAACGACUACAAAACGAAAAUACUUUAGAAAGGAAAAACUAGACAAAAACAUUAAUUGCCCUCAAUAAGUUGAAGUAUGAAAUUGGCUUAUGCGGGGCGUUGCUUUAUUGGACUCUAUGCUUGGUUUGUAUAGAAUUCAUUUGAGAUCCAAAAAAUGGUAAAAAUAGCACAGAAACAAUUCAGACGUUUACAUGUCUAUAUUUGAUUUCAAGCAAGCUGUUUCAGAACACUUAGGCAAAUUAUGUGAAACUAUAAUGACACGAAAAAGAAGGCGUCCUCUGUAAAUGUAGUGAUGGAACACCAGUUUCUUGGCAAGGAAGUCCUACUACCAAAGAAAGUGAGGUGAAAUUUGGCCACUGUCCUCCAUAACUGGAAUCCGUAAGUCCAUAUUGGCUUGAAAGCAACUUAAGUUGGAGUUUCUGGAACCAUUCAUGACAUUCAUACUGAGCACACUGUUAAAGUACUACUACACCAACACUCAUGAUUACACUGUCUGACGCGCGUUUCUAUAACCAAGUUAUCGUCUUCAGAGACCAAAGGUAAACAGUUUACCUUAAACAGUGUGUAUGUAUGAAGGCGACUUUGUGGACUAGGACUUUAUUUUGCAACAAUAUUUGAAUUUCCGUCCUAGUAGCCAGUAGUAUUUGCUGAAUUUGAUUCCCAACUGUUUCCUUUUAGUAACGAUAUGUGUUUUCCAGAUAAGCUGCUGCCAUGGUAGGGUUUGUGUGGUUUGCCAAAAUUGCUUUGUCAUCGGCAAAUGAUAAAGUAGUUAUAUUUCUACUUGUUGGGAAAUAAACAGUAAAUAGUAAGUGUAGAAUAGGUCCAAACUUCCUAUCCUGGGUCACUUUUUAUGGAAAAAGUUUCUUGCAGAUAUGAUUCUAAUAUAAUGUAUUUUGUAUGUGAGCACGAUUUCUUAAGUUUAAAAAGUAAAAGUAAAAUAAAUUUUUUUUUACCUAAUACAAGAAUAAUCUACUUACCAAAAUCAUAGCUACAUGACUAAACCUAUCAUAUGUUUGACAAAUGUAGGACAAUCCACUAUCAUCUAAUAAUAUCUUUUGUAAAAUAAAAGUUGCAACAGUCUUACUAAGUUCAGAACCAGAUUCCAUAAUUCUUAAGCACAAAGGAAUUAUUUCUGUGGUUAAUAAGAAAGUUAUCACCUCUUGUUCAUCCGUCUGAAAAAGGAAAUUUAUUAACCAACUUUAUUUGUAACAUAUCACAAUAUUGAAAUUAUAAGAUAAACCUAACUUUAAUAACUAAAAAUGUGUACUGAUAUUUUUCCAAUACCUUUCUAAUACACUUAAUGUAAUUUUGUAAUUAUAUUAAAGAGGUGGCUGGUAAGAAUUUGCUUCAAAAACAAAAUAUGUCAAUAUCAAAGGGGCAAAGUAUGGCUCAUUUUAUGGGUUUAAUCCACAGCGAAAACAGUCCGAGAAAUGAAUGGUACCAAAGACUUAAUAAGGUGUCGCGAAUAAUGCCUAUAGGAAACCUGGCGAAAUUCCAAGGGCACUGCGAGAGCAGGGACUAUGACAAAACCUCUUUCUCUCCGAGGGCUCUGGGCUAACAGAGACCACGAAAUCUACGAUACCCAAAAUAUUGGUUUAUAUUGAAGUCGAAGCACUGACUGGUGCCUUUGAUAAGACCUCGCUCAAACGCCGCAACAUCGGUAUUAUGGAGAAAAAAGGAGAAGCCUCUGGUUCAACGCUUAUCAAACAAUGAGUUAGCUCCAGAAGCUGUAAAACUGCAUCUACAGUAAGGUUCGGUACUAGCUACGUGAUAUCGGAGGGAUAAAUGAAUCUGCAGCUGACCGAUACCAGCUUCACGCAAAAUUGGUGCUGGAUUUUAUUGAUGAGGUGACUGAAGCCAUCAUGUGGUCUCCAUUCGACAAUGGAACCAAACCACCGCAGUUUCUUCCUCUUCAGCUGGUUAUGAAUUUUAUCCUAAUUUGAUGAAAGGUUCAGGCGAACGCGCCUGAAUGGGUUUUCAAAGGACAUUGGCCUUUGGUAUGUAAUUUCAAAUAUGGCAUGACUGGCCUAUCAGAAGGCUUAUGUGUUCAAUGGCUCUUGUCUAUCCACAAUUCUACUUUGAACUACAAAUAUAAAAUUUGGGUGAUGCCCAAAUUCCACUAAGUGUUUGUAUGUUACGAUUAAGUUAUUGUGGUAUCAAUAUUAUAAAGACUAGAGUUUGUUAGUUUGGCUGAAAGCGUUAAUGUCAGAAGCUAUUGGUUCUGAUGGAUACACUUUUCUAGUGUUGAAUAGCCUCUUUGAUGAAAGACCAAAUGAUAUUAAGAACACACUAUGUCAAAUUGGAGUGAAGUAUAAAUUAAAAAUGUUGUGGAAAGGGGGUAAAUGUAUUCUUUUUGUCAUAUUGGUAAUGUUGCUUUUCAGGUUUCCAAUAAUUAAUGAUAAUUUUAGGAAAUACAUGUAUUACCAGGCACACAAUUAUUUCUUUUGAUUUUAACAGGAAACAGACAGAUUAUAAGCUCAACUUUAUAAUAUUUGUGCAAUUGAAGAAACCUAUUGAAACAGCACAACAAAAUCUUACUCACCUGAAAUGUGGAAGGGAAUUUAAGGAAUUUCAGCUUCAUUUGCAUUAUAUAUGACAGGAUAUACUUAAUUUCUUAUAGGUUGUUAAGGGAAAACACAAUCAAUUAUAUUUUGUUUGUCUACAAAGCUAUCUUUAACUAUCUAAAGAAACUAAUGAUUUUCCAAAAUUUAUAAAGGUAUCCUUGUUAAAAUAGUGCCAACUGUAUUAAAAACAAAUUUAGAAUAUUUGUCAAUUGCUAAUCAAAAUGAAAUAUUUAUAUUUUUGAAGCUAGAAAUUAAUCAUCUUGCAAAAAUAAAAGCAGGUUAACCAAAAUUUUGAUGUAAUGAAUUACUGCUCUCAUAAAAUAUUUAAUUGGUGCACAGAUUUCAUUAUAUUCUCUUAUUAUUAAAAAUAUAUCCUAAUACAAGAAACAUUUUACAGAAUAUUAAAAAAAGAAAAAAAUUCAGUCUACAAUACUAAUGUUAGUUGAUAAAUAUUUUUCUGCCCAGAAAACCACAGGUAAAAAAAAUAUACAUACCUUUACUAAAGCUCCUAUAACUCCUAAACUUGUUAGUCUUAAGUAUUCAAAUGACCUGGUCUUUGAUGAAGUGUGUAAAAAUGGAUAUAAAAAUAAAGGAACAUGGGCGAGUAAAAACUGUGACCUAGUUUCUGAAUGUGAAGCUACACACUGAAGAAGAGCUAAAGCAUUGCACACCCUACAAAAAAACCAAAAGAAGAUAUAUAUGUAUAUAAUAAAUGGAAGCAAACAAAAUGAAGCUCACCUAUUAGACUGAUGUGCAGUAAGAGUUGGUGGGUUUAUUGCGGGAUAAAUAUUAAUAAUUUCUUGUAAUAAUGCAGCAGUUGUGCCAAAACUAUUCCACAGCAUGGGUGCUAAAUCCGGCACUACCUCCCUUUUUUUACUAAAAUAUUGUAAAGUCAGAUUGUAUUGUAUUUAACUGAAUAAAGUAUUUUACCUUAAUUCUAAAA